GACAGAUCUCUCGAAUAGGAAUGUUUUCAGGAAAGAGAGGGUUUUGUAUUCUUGCUCUUUUUCUAUCACACAUGUUCCAGGUCUACACAACGUAGUGGAAUUUGAACUACCUCAUGGCCAAUUUUCAGUGCAAACUGUACUUUUUUACAGUGACAUACCUUUUAAUAUCUCUUCUCAAGUGAUUCAGUGGUACUCUCUUUAUGACAGGUUCUGUUAGUAUUUUCAGAUGGGCUGGAUGAUUCAUUGGAAGAUCUCAGAAAAGCAGCCAAUGCCUUUCGCCUCAAAGGUCUUGAUGCACUUCUCUUAGUGGGCUUGGACAAUACGCAGAACCUGACCGCGCUUCGUGAAAUAGAGUUUGGCAGAGGUUUUGGGUACAAUGAACCUCUGAGUGUUGGAUUUCCAGAGAUUGCAAGCAUCUUGCAGAGAAACCUUGUAAGUCCUUUUGUUGUAUAAACAAAGGAGGGGGCAGUCUUUGUUUUGUAAUUUAUUGUACAUAAAUGCUAUGCUACUUUUCAUUUUUUCCAGGAUACUGUUGCAGAAAGGAAAUGCUGUAAUGUUCUUUGUAAAUGCCUAGGAGAAAUUGGUGAUCAUGGUGUCUGGGGAAAUCCUGGGAGGAAGGUAGGAUAGCUGUGAUCAGCAAAAUAAUUACUUCAUUUUUUCAAUGUGUUUUUGUAUUUUGUAGUAAUUCAAAGCAUGCAUUCAGGUGCCCAUAACCCUUGCCAUUAGGACAGAUGAAGAUAAAAUACAUAAUGUAAUCAUUUCUCUACUCCAUGUUGCUAUUACAAAAGUAUUUUUGUAAUGAAAAUCAUUCAGAUACAUCAAUAUCAUUAAGCACUCUGCUUCACAGAAUUCAGCAGAAAAUAGAGAGGGAUUUCAAAAUGAUUUCUGGUUAACCAAGAGCACUUCUAGCUAACUGUGAAUAAGAAAAUGGCAACUGCCAAGCUGAGAGUAGAAAAUAAUAAUCCUUCACGAGGUGUGAGACCCUUGUGCCUGAUCAGUACAGCACUAAUUUACAAUAUUUCCUUUAAGCUUUUAUAUUGAGUCUUUUACUAUCUAUUUCAAAUAUUGUAGAUUUCACCACUUCUAUACUGUGCUAGUAGACUUCAUUAUUAGGGCUUUUUGUAUAUAUAGUCUCUAUUUGUCUAUUAUUACUUUCAUUCCAUUAUUUCUUCUUGUUCUGGGAACAUACUAAAUAACUUGUCUUUGUAUUUUACAUUCUUCAGUUGUCUGGUUGCUGUUAAAUCCUUUUUUACUUAUCAAUUAGCAAAGGUGUAGUCUUGUAACACUGAUUUCUUCCAUUACUCUUGUUGAUACUGCUUUAUUAAAAUAUCUAAAUUACAGUGCUCAGGUGAAACUGUUCAGAAUGUAGACACAGUUGUACUACAGGUGGACAGACAUGAUACCUUGGGUUGUACAA
rnacentral:lncRNA from 1 species